AUGGAAUCUCCGGUUGAUCUUGAGAUAAAAUAUGCAAAUACAAUAGCAGAUAUCAUGACAAAGAUUGCAAUGAAGACCUUUUCUCUUCAACCGUCACCCCAUUUCUUUUCACCAUCGGCAACUCACAAAGUUUCCUUUUCCCAGAAAGAAAGAAACAGCGAGCCAGCAGGAGGGGGAGAGAGGGAGGCGCAUCUCGUCGCCGUCGAGUUGGAGGGGGAGCUGUCCGCAGCGCCAUGGCACCGCCGCCACCAUGCCAUGCCUCGCCGCGAGGUACCCAAUCGCGCCAUUGCCGUCCUACUCAACGCUGCCGUCCCAUCUUACCGCGCCGCCUUGGAAUCCGCAGUCAGAGUCGUGUCGCACAGAGGAGAGAAGAAGAGGAACUCACCGCGUCGCCGUCACCCACGGAGAUGCGAGCUGCGCCUAGUUGGCGGCGGGGUCACCGUGCCGUCAUCCUUGCCAGCUCCGAACGAGAAGCACGAUGGAGCUCCGUUUCUGCUUCCCUGGAGCUCUGUUUCUGCUUCCCUGGUCCGCCGUGAGACUGAGCGCCGCUGGGAGGGAGAAAGGCGCACGCGGGAGGGUGAAGCCGCCUCUAUCACCACCGCUGCCGUGAGUGGGGGGUCGUUGUCAUCGCUCUGCAUGUCGGUGCCGUACACCACUGUUGUUGCUGCCGAAUGGGGGAGAAGUCGUGCCACUGUUCUGGCCGCCGGAGCUUCUGGCCGAGCCUCAACCGCCGGGAACGCCGCUGCCGCCACCGAGCUCCACUGCCAAUUGCCGCUGCUGCUUGGGGCUGACUGCUGGGUUGCCGCCGAACCGGUUCGGAGAUCGCCGCUGUUUCGGUUCAAUCGUUCCUCCUUCGAUUCGAGUUGUUGAGACUGUUGCGAAAGUGGCUUGGAACCGAGGUUUUGGCUGCCGGGAUUUUGAUUGUUGAUCUCAGGCCGAGGCGGAAAGGAUUCUGUGACGCGUGUGGGCUAUGGUUUUGCGUUUUGAGGAUGUGGGCGCAGAAGUCACGAAGAGUUUAUUUAAUUGUUUUUGAGAUGUUCUGCAUUGCUUUAGAUUAUUAUAUAUUGUACCCUCGCCUUUUUCUUGAGAUAUUCUGUAAGAGGGAUAGGAAUUGUAUUGGUUCAUGCUUGUAAUAUUAUAUAUAUAUAUAUAUAUAUAUGUGUAUAUAUAUAUGGAUGUACUGUUGAUGAGUUUUGUAAGUGGUAUGGUAUCUAUGGAUGUACUUUGUCGAAGGAAAGUAUUUUGAGAUGCGGCUUUGCGGUAAAAAGAUUUAAAUAGGCUCAUAUUUUAGUAUUAAAUAGUGUAAGUGUCGUCGUAAUGUCCGAGCUAUCAGAGUUGCGCAGCCGGAAGCGUGACCUUUGGUAGUUAGGGUGUUACAUUAUAGUAUCAGAGCAGUCCUUCCUGUAGAGCCUGAGGAAUGGACCAACUAUGCUUCAAUUGCAUACUCUGAGCAUUUGUCAUGUACUAGGUCUUGUCGGAUGACGAGAAUUAGAGCUUUACGCACGUGACGAUCUAUUGAUUAACGCUGUUAGUCUUGCAUUGCAUAAUUCUUGGUAUUAAGUUUGGCCAGGUUAAUACUAGUGAAUUUUGUAUAUGAAAGCACUAAUGGGUUAUCAUAGAUGACAUACGAGUUGAGUAAAGUGAAUCGCGGGUUUUGGGAACGUUAGAAACUAUUUCUCGAGGCUAUUCAGUUGUGUAUCUUGGAUUUUGUUCGAGUCGACCUGUUCUUUCAUAUCCUAACUUGAAGUUCUUGUUGCUACUCCUCUUGAAAAGUAAUUUGAUGUUUCCACUCUGUUUCUCUAUUCAUAUGCAUUCUU